GGGGAAUUUUCCGCAAUGGGCGAAAGCCUGACGGAGCAAGACCGCGUGGGGGAAGAAGGCUCUUGGGUUGUAAACUCCUUUUCUCUGGGAAGAACAAAAUGACGGUACCAGAGGAAUCAGCAUCGGCUAACUCCGUGCCAGCAGCCGCGGUAAGACGGAGGAUGCAAGCGUUAUCCGGAAUGAUUGGGCGUAAAGCGUCCGCAGGUGGCAGUUCAAGUCUGCUGUCAAAGACCGGGGCUCAACCUCGGAAAGGCAGUGGAAACUGAACAGCUAGAGUAUGGUAGGGGCAAAGGGAAUUCCUGGUGUAGCGGUGAAAUGCGUAGAGAUCAGGAAGAACAUCGGUGGCGAAGGCGCUUUGCUGGACCAUAACUGACACUCAGGGACGAAAGCUAGGGGAGCGAAUGGGAUUAGAUACCCCAGUAGUC
rnacentral:rRNA from 1 species